AGAGUUUGAUCCUGGCUCAGGAUGAACGCUGGCGGCGUGCCUAACACAUGCAAGUCGAACGAAGCACUUUCUUUGAACUCCUUCGGGGGCGAAGAGAAAGUGACUUAGUGGCGGACGGGUGAGUAACGCGUGGGUAACCUGCCUCAUACAGGGGGAUAACAGCCGGAAACGGCUGCUAAGACCGCAUAAAAUAGAACUGACGCAUGUCAGUUCUAUCAAAUAUUCAUAGGUAUGAGAUGGACCCGCGUCUGAUUAGCUAGUUGGUGGGGUAAUAGCCUACCAAGGCGACGAUCAGUAGCCGGCUUGAGAGAGUGACCGGCCACAUUGGGACUGAGACACGGCCCAAACUCCUACGGGAGGCAGCAGUGGGGAAUAUUGCACAAUGGGGGAAACCCUGAUGCAGCGACGCCGCGUGAGUGAAGAAGUAUUUCGGUAUGUAAAGCUCUAUCAGCAGGGAAGAAAAUGACGGUACCUGACUAAGAAGCCCCGGCUAACUACGUGCCAGCAGCCGCGGUAAUACGUAGGGGGCAAGCGUUAUCCGGAUUUACUGGGUGUAAAGGGAGCGUAGGUGGUGUGGUAAGUCAGAUGUGAAAACCCGGGGCUCAACCCCGGGACUGCAUUUGAAACUAUCAUGCUAGAGUGCAGGAGAGGUAAGUGGAAUUCCUAGUGUAGCGGUGAAAUGCGUAGAUAUUAGGAGGAACACCAGUGGCGAAGGCGGCUUACUGGACUGUAACUGACGCUGAGUCACGAAAGCGUGGGUAGCAAACAGGAUUAGAUACCCUGGUAGUCCACGCUGUAAACGAUGAGUGCUAGGUGUUGGGUAGCGAUAUUCAGUGCCGAAGUAAACACAAUAAGCACUCCGCCUGGGGAGUACGGUCGCAAGACUGAAACUCAAAGGAAUUGACGGGGACCCGCACAAGCAGCGGAGCAUGUGGUUUAAUU
rnacentral:rRNA from 1 species